rnacentral:lncRNA from 1 species
GCUACUUUUCUCUCCAGGAUCCUGAGUGUUUGAGUCAGCCAGGGAGCCUGAAUCAUUUCCUGAAUUCCCUUCUGGUUCAUGGGGAGUUAGACUUUGUACUAUGCACUUGCUGCCAAGGGAACCCAGCAAAGAGCCCUUUUGAGAGGUAACUAUCACUCUUGCCUUUUUUCGUGAGGUCCUAAGUGGCUAUGGCAGGUGGCUGGUUGUCUCCCAAUUUUUGUUUUUCUAUACUUCUGUAGUAUAAAUUUUAGCUGGCAACAUGGCUGCCUGGCCAAAGACUACAUUUCCCAGUCUCCCUUGCAGUAGCCAUGGUCAUGUGACGAGGUAAAGCCAGCAGAAGUGAUGAGGGUCACAUCCUGAUCUUGCCCUCAAAAAAUUGGUAGUAUCAUCGACCCCUUGUGCCCAGUCCCUUUCCCCCUUUCCACUGCUGGAAGGAGAGGAGAAGAACCAGGGUAUCUCCUUAGACACAGAAAUGGAAAGCACGUAUUAAGGAUGUGGAGCUACCCCAGCAGCCCUGACCUGCUGACCUCCAGACUGUGACAUGGAAACAGAUCAACUUCUCUCUUGGGUUUGACAUAAGCGACUCCAUUCUGAUAUUGAGAACCC